rnacentral:rRNA from 1 species
AUUGAACGCUGGCGGCAUGCCUUACACAUGCAAGUCGAACGGUAACAGGUUAAGCUGACGAGUGGCGAACGGGUGAGUAAUUCAUCGGAACGUGCCCAGUAGUGGGGGAUAGCCCGGCGAAAGCCGGAUUAAUACCGCAUACGACCUAAGGGUGAAAGGGGGGGAUCGCAAGACCUCUCGCUAUUGGAGCGGCCGAUGUCAGAUUAGCUAGUUGGUGGGGUAAAAGCUCACCAAGGCGACGAUCUGUAGCUGGUCUGAGAGGACGACCAGCCACACUGGGACUGAGACACGGCCCAGACUCCUGCGGGAGGCAGCAGUGGGGAAUUUUGGACAAUGGGCGCAAGCCUAAUCCAGCCAUGCCGCGUGCAGGAAGAAGGACUUCGGGUUGUAAACCGCUUUUGUCAGGGAAGAAAUCCUUUGGGUUAAUACCUCGGGGGGAUGACGGUACCUGAAGAAUAAGCACCGGCUAACUACGUG